AGACCAUCCACCAUUCUCAAGCAUUGUUCAAGUAACUGCCACAGAUCAAGAUCAAGAGGACAAACUCAGAUAUGAUAUUGUGAAUGAAAUUGAUGAGAAAUCACUCAGCAUUGGAGCAUCUCAUAACUUCUACAUUGACACAGACACGGGCAUGAUUUACCUGAAGAAGAAUCUCAUGAACACUUUAUUUACCAGAUUUAUUUUGACAGUUCAAGCUUGUGACGAUGGUGUACCAUACAAGUGUUCUAAUACAACUGUUACCAUCAGCAUCAGUGAAGAUAAAAACGCCCCAGUGUUCAACAAUGCUCCGUUUAUUAGAACA